rnacentral:rRNA from 1 species
GAGUUUGAUCCUGGCUCAGAUUGAACGCUGGCGGCAGGCUUAACACAUGCAAGUCGAGCGGGGGAAGGUAGCUUGCUACCUAACCUAGCGGCGGACGGGUGAGUAAUGCUUAGGAAUCUGCCUAUUAGUGGGGGACAACAUUCCGAAAGGAAUGCUAAUACCGCAUACGUCCUACGGGAGAAAGCAGGGGAUCUUCGGACCUUGCGCUAAUAGAUGAGCCUAAGUCGGAUUAGCUAGUUGGUGGGGUAAAGGCCUACCAAGGCGACGAUCUGUAGCGGGUCUGAGAGGAUGAUCCGCCACACUGGGACUGAGACACGGCCAGACUCCUACGGGAGGCAGCAGUGGGGAAUAUUGGACAAUGGGCGGAAGCCUGAUCCAGCCAUGCCGCGUGUGUGAAGAAGGCCUUUUGGUUGUAAAGCACUUUAAGCGAGGAGGAGGCUACUCUAGUUAAUACCUAGAGAUAGUGGACGUUACUCGCAGAAUAAGCACCGGCUAACUCUGUGCCAGCAGCCGCGGUAAUACAGAGGGUGCGAGCGUUAAUCGGAUUUACUGGGCGUAAAGCGUGCGUAGGCGGCUGAUUAAGUCGGAUGUGAAAUCCCUGAGCUUAACUUAGGAAUUGCAUUCGAUACUGGUCAGCUAGAGUAUGGGAGAGGAUGGUAGAAUUCCAGGUGUAGCGGUGAAAUGCGUAGAGAUCUGGAGGAAUACCGAUGGCGAAGGCAGCCAUCUGGCCUAAUACUGACGCUGAGGUACGAAAGCAUGGGGAGCAAACAGGAUUAGAUACCCUGGUAGUCCAUGCCGUAAACGAUGUCUACUAGCCGAAUGGGGCCUUUGAGGCUUUAGUGGCGCAGCUAACGCGAUAAGUAGACCGCCUGGGGAGUACGGUCGCAAGACUAAAACUCAAAUGAAUUGACGGGGGCCCGCACAAGCGGUGGAGCAUGUGGRUUAAUUCGAUGCAACGCGAAGAACCUUACCUGGUCUUGACAUAGUAAGAACUUUCCAGAGAUGGAUUGGUGCCUUCGGGAACUUACAUACAGGUGCUGCAUGGCUGUCGUCAGCUCGUGUCGUGAGAUGUUGGGUUAAGUCCCGCAACGAGCGCAACCCUUUUCCUUACUUGCCAGCAUUUCGGAUGGGAACUUUAAGGAUACUGCCAGUGACAAACUGGAGGAAGGCGGGGACGACGUCAAGUCAUCAUGGCCCUUACGACCAGGGCUACACACGUGCUACAAUGGUCGGUACAAAGGGUUGCUACCUAGCGAUAGGAUGCUAAUCUCAAAAAGCCGAUCGUAGUCCGGAUUGGAGUCUGCAACUCGACUCCAUGAAGUCGGAAUCGCUAGUAAUCGCGGAUCAGAAUGCCGCGGUGAAUACGUUCCCGGGCCUUGUACACACCGCCCGUCACACCAUGGGAGUUUGUUGCACCAGAAGUAGGUAGUCUAACCGUAAGGAGGACGCUUACCACGGUGUGGCCGAUGACUGGGGUGAAGUCGUAACAAGGUAGCCGUAGGGGAACCUGCGGCUGGAUCACCUCCUUUCU